GCCAGACUCCUACGGGAGGCAGCAGUGGGGAAUAUUGGGCAAUGGGCGCAAGCCUGACCCAGCAACGCCGCGUGAAGGAAGAAGGCUUUCGGGUUGUAAACUUCUUUUGACAGGGAAGAGUAGAAGACGGUACCUGUCGAAUAAGCCACGGCUAACUACGUGCCAGCAGCCGCGGUAAUACGUAGGUGGCAAGCGUUGUCCGGAUUUACUGGGUGUAAAGGGCGUGUAGCCGGGAAGGCAAGUCAGAUGUGAAAUCUGGAGGCUCAACCUCCAAAUUGCAUUUGAAACUGUUUUUCUUGAGUACUGGAGAGGCAGACGGAAUUCCUUGUGUAGCGGUGAAAUGCGUAGAUAUAAGGAGGAACACCAGUGGCGAAGGCGGUCUGCUGGACAGCAACUGACGGUGAGGCGCGAAAGCGUGGGGAGCAAACAGGAUUAGAUACCCCUGUAA
rnacentral:rRNA from 1 species